ACAGGGAGGCCUGCUCUCUACUUCAAAGCAAAGCAGCAGUGUUAAGUUACCUGAGGAACACAGGAACACAGGAUCAUUUAAAGUCCAGGAGACUGCUUGUCAAAGUUUGUGUCAGUCACUUGGUGGAGAAGGGUGAAUUUUACCCAUCAAGUGCUGAAAAGCUUGUUUUUGUCACUACUUUCACAUCUUUGCAGGGUCGGAUUAAAGGAAAAGGAGAUGGAUUUCAGUGGAGAUGAAGAUCAGGCAUAGGUCGUGGAUAUCGAAGGGGACUUCUACAAUCUUUGAGGACCCAUGCUUCUUGAAUAUGCCAAGUGUGAUGAAAAGUGCUACCCAAUGCUGGUUGUUCUGGCAUUUCUUCUGCCACCGUUGCCUGGAAGUCGCUGCAGUGUUAAAUAGGAAAUUUCAUUCCUUCAAUUUCCCUUUGUAACGCCUGGAGCCAUAUUGCAUCCCUCUGCAGCAGUUUUGAGACCGCAUCAAAGACCAGACCACAGCCAAUCUACAUUGAGAGUUUGAAGAGCACAACAUGACAAUACAUCAUUGCGACGAUUGACAAAAUGACAAUUUCUGUGGAUGAGGGCCUGACGUCCUGUGGACAAGAUAUUCUAGGUGUGAAACUUCUGUCCACCACAGAUUAGUUCUGUCUUCACUUUCUAAGACUGGGACAUCUAAUAUUGAAACACCACAUUCUCUUCCUUUUAAAACUGACAUUCCUACUUACUGUGUUGCCUCUUUUGUGACCCAAAUGUAUUCAUCAAAUACAACUAGUGGAUGUAACAAGAAGUAUUACUU